UACGUAGGGUGCAGGCGUUAAUCGGAAUUACUGGGCGUAAAGCGUGCGCAGGCGGUUUGCUAAGACAGGUGUGAAAUCCCCGGGCUUAACCUGGGAACUGCGCUUGUAACUGGCAAGCUGGAGUGUGGCAGAGGGGGGUGGAAUUCCACGUGUAGCAGUGAAAUGCGCAGAGAUGUGGAGGAACACCGAUGGCGAAGGCAGCCCCCUGGGCUAACACUGACGCUCAUGCACGAAAGCGUGGGGAGCAAACAGG
rnacentral:rRNA from 1 species